UACGUAGGGGGCAAGCGUUGUCCGGAUUUAUUGGGCGUAAAGAGCGUGUAGGCGGCUAGGUAGGUCCGUUGUGAAAACUCGAGGCUCAACCUCGAGACGCCGAUGGAAACCCCCUGGCUAGAGUCCGGAAGAGGAGAGUGGAAUUCCUGGUGUAGCGGUGGAAUGCGCAGAUAUCAGGAAGAACACCCGUGGCGAAGGCGGCUCUCUGGGACGGUACUGACGCUGAGACGCGAAAGCGUGGGGAGCAAACAGG
rnacentral:rRNA from 1 species